rnacentral:siRNA from 1 species
AUAUUAGUGGGUAUCGACGUC